AGAGUUUGAUCCUGGCUCAGGACGAACGCUGGCGGCGUGCCUAAUACAUGCAAGUCGAACGCUUCUUUUUCCACCGGAGCUUGCUCCACCGGAAAAAGAGGAGUGGCGAACGGGUGAGUAACACGUGGGUAACCUGCCCAUCAGAAGGGGAUAACACUUGGAAACAGGUGCUAAUACCGUAUAACAAUCGAAACCGCAUGGUUUCGAUUUGAAAGGCGCUUUCGGGUGUCGCUGAUGGAUGGACCCGCGGUGCAUUAGCUAGUUGGUGAGGUAACGGCUCACCAAGGCGACGAUGCAUAGCCGACCUGAGAGGGUGAUCGGCCACAUUGGGACUGAGACACGGCCCAAACUCCUACGGGAGGCAGCAGUAGGGAAUCUUCGGCAAUGGACGAAAGUCUGACCGAGCAACGCCGCGUGAGUGAAGAAGGUUUUCGGAUCGUAAAACUCUGUUGUUAGAGAAGAACAAGGAUGAGAGUAACUGUUCAUCCCUUGACGGUAUCUAACCAGAAAGCCACGGCUAACUACGUGCCAGCAGCCGCGGUAAUACGUAGGUGGCAAGCGUUGUCCGGAUUUAUUGGGCGUAAAGCGAGCGCAGGCGGUUUCUUAAGUCUGAUGUGAAAGCCCCCGGCUCAACCGGGGAGGGUCAUUGGAAACUGGGAGACUUGAGUGCAGAAGAGGAGAGUGGAAUUCCAUGUGUAGCGGUGAAAUGCGUAGAUAUAUGGAGGAACACCAGUGGCGAAGGCGGCUCUCUGGUCUGUAACUGACGCUGAGGCUCGAAAGCGUGGGGAGCAAACAGGAUUAGAUACCCUGGUAGUCCACGCCGUAAACGAUGAGUGCUAAGUGUUGGAGGGUUUCCGCCCUUCAGUGCUGCAGCUAACGCAUUAAGCACUCCGCCUGGGGAGUACGACCGCAAGGUUGAAACUCAAAGGAAUUGACGGGGGCCCGCACAAGCGGUGGAGCAUGUGGUUUAAUUCGAAGCAACGCGAAGAACCUUACCAGGUCUUGACAUCCUUUGACCACUCUAGAGAUAGAGCUUCCCCUUCGGGGGCAAAGUGACAGGUGGUGCAUGGUUGUCGUCAGCUCGUGUCGUGAGAUGUUGGGUUAAGUCCCGCAACGAGCGCAACCCUUAUUGUUAGUUGCCAUCAUUUAGUUGGGCACUCUAGCAAGACUGCCGGUGACAAACCGGAGGAAGGUGGGGAUGACGUCAAAUCAUCAUGCCCCUUAUGACCUGGGCUACACACGUGCUACAAUGGGAAGUACAACGAGUCGCAAAGUCGCGAGGCUAAGCUAAUCUCUUAAAGCUUCUCUCAGUUCGGAUUGUAGGCUGCAACUCGCCUACAUGAAGCCGGAAUCGCUAGUAAUCGCGGAUCAGCACGCCGCGGUGAAUACGUUCCCGGGCCUUGUACACACCGCCCGUCACACCACGAGAGUUUGUAACACCCGAAGUCGGUGAGGUAACCUUUUGGAGCCAGCCGCCUAAGGUGGGAUAGAUGAUUGGGGUGAAGUCGUAACAAGGUAGCCGUAUCGGAAGGUGCGGCUGGAUCACCU
rnacentral:rRNA from 2 species